GCUCGGGGGCGGGGCCGGGGGGCGGGGGCCGGUCCCGCGCCGGAGUCGGAGUCUGGGCAUCGUCCGGCUGGUGCCAGUUGAGCCGGCAGCCUUUUUGGUGUCGGUUCUGUCUUUUCAACCUCCCCUCCCCGGUGGUCCAGGCUGACGCAGAAAGGAAAAUAUUCUGGACCCUCUGGUACCGGCUCUGCCCUUGUCCAUGUGGCUGGGAGGCUACCCCACGCGGCCGAGGUCCGCUCACCUAGCACGGUGACCCCAUCUGGUCCCAGCUCUUAGGGAGGGACAGGGACAGCCUGGCAUGCACGCAUCGGUGAGGGGAAGUCUUUCCCCACACCUUUUCUAGCUUAACCGUAAAGUGUGCUUUUUGAGAGAAAACUUAUUCCUUGUUUCAGGCCAUAUGCUUUUCCAUUAGUCCUUGUUAGUGGGGUUUUAUAAAAAAUCUUAGUUGACCGCUGUUUGUGCCACCCAGUUCCAAGGUAGUGUGAUGUGAAGUUGUGUGUUGGUAACUUGACUCAUUUCUUUGGAAGUUGACUGAGCUGUGUUACUAGCAUAUAGCAAUAACAACAGAUUGGACCUUUGUCAAUGAGAAGCCAUAGGAAAAUUCGUGUCCUCUUCUGAUGAAAAAUAAUUACAGAGGCCAGGAAGUCCCAAGGUCAUGUACGAGCUGGAGAACCAGGAGGGCUGAUGGCUUCAACUGAAAUUCAAGUCUAAAGUCCUAAGGACCAGGAGCGCUGAUGCCCGAAUACAGGAGAUGGAUGCCCCAGCUCGAGCAAUUCAUACUUUCCCUGCCUUUAUGUUCCGUUUGGGCCCUCCAUAUAUUAGAGGAUGCCAAUCUGCAAAGUUUCCUCAGAAAGGAAGGCGGGACGGCCUGCGUACUGGGAAAGGAGACGAAGGACUUACUCUUCAUGAUGAGGACUUUCACUUAUCCCCCUCUUCCCACUACAGGGGAGAAUGUGCAUCUAUUUCCUGCCAAACCCCAGCCUCAUAUACUUUUGGCUGUGCCAGAAAUCUCUUGUCUAGGACCUUUUACUUCAGUGUAUUCAAUGAAUAAACCUCUAGUCUUUGCCACAGAUGAAAAGAGAAAGCAAGUGUUUAAUGUGUAAAAUAGGAUUAAAGUUAUCUAAAUAUUAGGGUGCCCACUGUGCUAUUUCCACAUACCUUCUACCUGUUUAUAGAGGCUACACAGUGUCUGGAAAGAUAUACAAUGUACUAUUAACAGGGUUAUCUCUAGGAAAUGGUUUAUAGGGAGAAGGAAAAUACUGGGGAUUUCUAAUUUUUAGUUCCUACAGUUCUCUACUUUUCAUGGCUAUAUAAUGAUUUUCAGAAACAGCUCCCAGUGUAGUUCCGAUGUCCAUCUAGACAUGGAACUACUGGCUGCUAUCUAAUUUCUGUGUUCUCCUCUCAUCAGAAUACUGGACUAUUAACUAUGAUAGGAAUUAUAGCAAAGGCUGCUUGGUCAGAUGAAAGAAAUUCUGCAGAAGUCUUCCUGUAUGACGUUAUGGGAACAUGGGUGUUGCAAAAAGGAAAUGGUAAGCUUGGAAUUCAUGUUUUCUUUUUUCAUUUAAUGCGUUUAUGGCAUAAGAGAGUCUGAAUAGUUGUUUUAGAGAAUUUAAUGGACAUUUAAUAGGUAUUGAUAAUUACAUCAACAAUUUAUCUGUGAUCCUAAGCAGUGCUGUAGCUGAUGAUGCAAUACAGUUUUGAGUAAAUGAUUGUUUUUCAGUCAUUCUCCUAUACUUAAAAUAUACAUGUGGAAACAAUUGAUAUAAAUUGGUUCUUUUUGUAGCUAUAUGUCUCCAUCUUCAUGUAUGUAUCUAUGUCAGAAUAUUUAUAAAAACAAAAAAAAGCACUGAUUGCCUUACCGUCUUAACACAAUGACUAUUUUAGAAAAUAUUUCUUUAUGUUAGAGGUUUUGAUACAUUCUCCAUGUAAAUCCAAUUUCUUAAAUUUUUGUUUGAUUUUUAUGAUUCUGAAAACUAGCAAUAUAUUUCACUUUUCUAUACAUGGAUUUUUAAUAGAUAAACUGUAGUAUGUUUGAAAAGCAUUUUUUCUGUUAAAUAAAAAAAUAAGGUAUUAUGUGUCUGAGUGUCUG
rnacentral:lncRNA from 1 species